rnacentral:misc_RNA from 1 species
AAAGUCGUAACAAGGUCUCCGUAGGUGAACCUGCGGAGGGAUCAUUAACAGGUUCUGGUCGGCCAUCCGGUCGCACCGUCCCUCCCUCUGUCUACCGUACACUGUUGCUCGAGCGGGCGCAAGCCCGCGCGGGAUAACCAUAACCCUUCUUAGUGAAUGUCUGAGUAUCAACAAAUACAAACAAAACUUUUAACAACGGAUCUCUUGGUUCCA